rnacentral:rRNA from 1 species
AUACGGAGGAUCCGAGCGUUAUCCGGAUUUAUUGGGUUUAAAGGGUGCGCAGGCGGCCAUUUAAGUCAGCGGUUAAAUCGUGGGGCUCAACCCCAUUCUGCCGUUGAUACUGGGUGGCUUGAUUGCGGUCGAGGUUGGCGGAAUUCGUUGUGUAGCGGGGAAAUGCAUAGAUAUGACGAAGAACACCGAUUGCGUAGGCAGCUGACCAGACCGCAAAUGACGCGCAUGCACGAAAGUGCGGGGAUCGAACAGGAUUAGAUACCCUGGUAGUCCGCACAGUAAACGAUGAAUACUUGUUUUCGGCGAUAUAAUGUCGGAGGCAAAGCGAAAGCGAUAAGUAUUCCACCUGGGGAGUACGCCGGCAACGGUGAAACUCAAAUGAAUUGACGGG